GAAGAAACUCUGACCGAACCCGCAGUCCAUCGUCCCCUUCAACAGCUCCGCUUGUGCUGCUCCACCGCUCCCCCGCGGCACCGGCGACACCGCGCAGCUCCACCACGCCGCUCCGAUGUGCCGUGCAGCUUAACCACGCCACUCCGCCGCAAUCCGCGGCUCCACUACGCCGCGCUGCCGUGACCCGCAGCUCCAUCGCUCCUCCCAUCCUUGCCCGUCGAUUUGUUCCCUAAAAUACUCACCUUUCCCCAUCCCUGCCCGCGACGAGGCCGAAUGUGUACCACUCCAGCAUCCCCGGCACGGCGUCCAGCCAGAGGAAGAGGGAGUUGUGGGCGGCGGCGGCGGACUCUAGCCCUCCACCAGCGCCUCGAUGUAGGUGUUGGAGCCGCCGGCAAAAUUUCAAACCGGGAAGAGCAAAAUCUCACAUUUCCUUUUCCGGCAGAGACAAAGGCAGCUCUCCCCUCUUCAUAGGUGUCAAAAUUCAGAGUUGGGAGCAGUUGUUGUUGACUAAAGGUUAUGCCUCCAAUGCCAAGAUUGACAGAAGUAGUAAGAGUAGAAGAAGAUUACCGUAUGCACUGAAUUAUUUUUGACAGUAGUUGUUGUUGACUAAAGGUUAAACCAUCGACCAAUUCACAUUGCUGGCGCCGCUGUCCCAUAGAAGGUCAACACAAUGCACAUCUCCACCGCUCCACCGCACAGCUCCAUCUCUCCUGCAUGUGGUGAGCCCACCCGUUGCUUUCAAUGCCACGAGCAUGAAUGAGCUAAGAAAAUGGAACGAACAAUACGACAAAGGUGGCAGCAGGAGUAUAUCACCAUUUGGGUUCGGCAGCUAACAUGAUUCCGGUAGCAAAUUUUCCACACUGUACCAAUGUGCUCUUAUUUAGCCAUACAGACUGAAAAUGUUUUUUUAAAAGAGACUUAGAAUGUUGGAGCGACAACAGUAACUGUUCUUGAUCUUACACAAUUGCAGCGAUAUGCUACUCUGCAUCUAAUUAGGAUUGUAGACUUUGCAUGAACGAUGUGCCAGGGACAUUGAAAAAUAAGUAAAUUACAGGGGAAAUUAAAUUAAGCUUUUAUCAAGAGAUCACCAUUCAAGUUCAAAAUGAAAAAAGACAGUCUCUCAAAUUCAGAGAUGACAAGUGUUUAUCUAAAUUUGCAGUAACUAGUAUACCAGUUCUAACAAUGUUUAAUUUGUUUGCCAAAUUUGUUGUAAUUCAGUUAAUUCAAUUUGAAAGGUCUUGUGCACUGAAUUUUAGAAGUAUUGCUUGUCAAAUCAGUGUGUAGAAAUUUUAGGCCCAUGUCUAGAAAAUCAUGUUAGUACAACAAUAUUCAUCUUGUUUUCAGUUUUAGCAGUAACACUUUUCCAUUUUAAGCUUUAGCUAACUGAACAUGCCACUGUUGCUCUAUUGAUCUGCUAUAAGUCUUGUACUGCUGGUGCUAUUUCUUCUGCAGUCCAUCUGCUUCUUCACUUUCUGGUUGUUGUACUUCUUGAUCUCCUACUGCUACUCCCUCUGCUUCUUCAUUCUCUGGUUACCAUUGUUGAAACUAAUCUCCUGCUGCUACUCCCUCUGCUUUCUGGUUGUUGAAAUUCAGAAUUGUCGUGCCGCUGCUGCUUCAAUCUAUGGCUCCCUUUGCUCCUCGCUCUCCUCCCUUUGCUCCUGGUCCACCACCGCCAUGCUGCUGCUUCAAUUCAACAGAGGAGGCUGCUGAUGCUGCCAAUUAACAAAGGAGGCGAUGACACCGCUGUCGCUGCCAAUCAACAGAGGGGGCGAGGACAGCCUGCGGCGGUGAUGGGCGAGGGGACGAGGAGGGGCGGCGCAGAUUGGUAGCAAUGGCGCAGGUGGGUGGCGGCGCGCUGGGCCCUACGGCGACUGCCGGCGGUGGCUGGAGCUAGUUCCUACCGCGGGCGAUACUUGGGACGAACGUGGCGGGCGAAGAACUAUCGGUGGUCGUCGUAAUUGAUGACGGGAUCGCGGGCAGAGCGGACCGGCAGGUUCCAUGGCUCCACCGCCGCCAGCUACACCUGCGCUGCGGGGUCGCCGGGGACGGGGACGGGGAGGAGGAUGAAGCAGAGGGGGGCGGGGCUGUGAUUAAUAGGGCGGCAAGGCGAGGCUCAGGGAUAGCGCAGGUGGGCGGCGUUGGCGCUGGUGCGCGCGGGGGGCGUUGGGCCUUACGGCGUCUGCCGGAGUUGGUUCUUGCUAGCGGGGCGCAAGCGAGGGUGGAAGGAGGAAGAGGGGGUGAUUAGCAAGGGGAUUGAAAUCGUGAGUUUUUUUGCAAAAAUGAAAAUGAACUAACCCUUGGACAAGUUUUCCCAGACGGAGGGAGUAUUACAAAAAUCAUUAUCUACUAUCCAUGCUACACUUGUAUCACCAUCUCUUCACCGAACCAGUGCAUCUAUACAAAUUACCAUUGUAUUUGGUGUGUUGGGGACACAAGAGACUCUUUGUUAUUUGGUUGUAGGGUUUUUUGAGAGACACCAUAUUCAUCCUACG